AAAACUGACUCCUAGGGAGGAAGGGAAGAAGGUAGAUAGAUAGAGAGUGCGGUGGGAGGGAGACAAACAGUGGAUAACACAGCACAGGCCCAGAAAGGAAUAUACAAGGUUUUGGCUCUUUUCUUCCCUCCCCUGAGUCUGGGAAGAGAUCCACCUGGAAGACUGGCACAGUAAGUCAGGCAUGAAGAGUGCUGUGGCCACCUGGGGGCAGUGCAGUCUUGUGGAUAAGUUUCACAGCAGAGUGUGGGGACCCCGAUUCUAUGUCAGUUCUGCCAGUUUCUUUCCCUUUCUCUUCAAGUGAGCUCAUGGUCUGAGUUCACCCUUGUCUCAGUCCUCACUGGGUUGUUGCCGGAGGAACUGGAAUCUGAGGCCUGGGUGAGGCUUACUCACACGGAAGACUGCACAUCCAUAUGCACACACCCUGGAAUGUGUCAAGGCUCCAAUUUAAGAGGCAGACUUGAAUAAGGCUGGAGGCAUCUUUGGGCCAGCACACACUGAUUUAAAGGAACUGGCAUCAAAGUACCAUUUCCCACCAGGCUUGAGCCUCUGCAGCCUCGGAAGAGGGAGUCUUUAGCCGAAACAUUCAGGAGCCGGGGAUCCCAGAAGGUACAUACUAAAUUCCAUCCAGAUGUUGAGUUUGAUUUUGUAUUUUUUUCUUCUCCUCCUCCUCCUCCUCUUUUGUUCAAUUCAGAGAGCAAACAAGUUGUGAUGGGGAAUGUACUACUGUGUAUGUUUAUCUUAUUGAUUAUUGAAUAAAAUACUGGUUGGCCAAUGAGACAGCAAGUUAGGCAGGACUAGGAGUCAAAGAGGAUUCUGGGAAAUGUAGUUGAGAAGUGGUGAUCCAGGCAGGAGGUGACAUAGCAAGGAGACUCAUAUUUAAGCAAGGAGAAACAGGAAGUAUCUCCUUUUCCCCUUUGCCUCCUCCAGCAGUGCAAUGUGAUCCACCAGCAAGGAGGCCAAUGGAAGGUGUCCGAUAAGUCUUAUAAAAUAUAUAGAUUUAUGAUAAUUAAGACUGAGCUAACAGAUGAGAAUCCUAGUCAUUGGCCAGGCAACAUUUGUACCUAAUAGAAGUCUGUGUAUUAUUUUGUCCAUCCACGCUGGGAACUCCGGUGGCUGGUGGAGACCACCCACGUGGCAGUAGAACUUGGGCGGCUUUUGGCGGAAAGAUUUAUCAUAACAAAGUUGUUUUUCAUCUCAUCAAAGGAUAUGUGGAGAGCAUUGCUUCCUUCUCUUCUGGGUAAAAACAUCUGGGCCAAAUAGUGCUUUGUUUGCAUAAGCAACAUUAUUAAACAGGUAAAUGAUGUCUGCUAGUGCAAUCUAAUAUACAACUUUAUUAAACAGGUAAAUGAUGUCUGCUAGUGCACUCUAAUAUACAACUUUCCAAGAGCUUACUUGCAGUGGUAGGGCCUCCACCUGUUUUGAAAUUGUUCUAGGAAACGAUUGCGGCUCAAACUAUCUUAAACAGUUGAGGAUCUCAUUGCAUCUGAGCAUAUCAGUGCCUGGCAGCUUUACCGUCCCGGCAGGUAACAUUCAGGCAUUAGACAGCUAACAAAACUCUUCUGCAGCCAUCGCAGCUCUCCUGGGGUUAACUUGCUGUGGGGCUAGGAUGAGGAAAACCAGAUCUUCCUAGGCUGCAGCUCACUUGGCUGCCCUUCAGCCCACACCUGAGCUCCUCCUCCCUGGAAGAGAAACCUGAGGAAAGGCAGCUUAGCUGUGGCUGCACUGACAGGGGCUUCUUGCCAGUGGUUGCUUCUGA
rnacentral:lncRNA from 1 species